rnacentral:piRNA from 1 species
UGUUAAAGAAAGAAGGUGUAGACAUCACAGU